AUUUCAGAAAUAUGGGAGCCAAAUGGAACUGAAAAUGAAUGGCUGAUAAUAGCUCACAUGGAGGAAGAAGACCUGGGCUCUUGUUCCAGCUUUGCCCCUGUGUCAUCCUGGACAAGUCCACUCUCUUCUCUGAGACCCCAUUUCAUCUGUGAAAUCAGGACUAGAUGAUCAUUGCAGUCUCUCCCCAGCUCCCUCAUCUCCUGCCAGUUCUUUUUCUGCCUAGUUCUUACUUAUAAGGGACCAAGUUUUGAGGAUUAAUGUCAGAAAUGGAGACGAGAUCAGCAAAUUGAGUCAACUAGUGAAUUCAAACAACUUGAAGCUCAAUUUCUGGAAAUCUCCCUCCUCCUUCAAUCGGCCUGUGGAUGUCCUGGUCCCAUCUGUCAGUCUGCAGGCAUUUAAAUCCUUCCUGAGAUCCCAGGGCUUAGAGUACGCAGUGACAAUUGAGGACCUGCAGGCCCUUUUAGACAAUGAAGAUGAUGAAAUGCAACACAAUGAAGGGCAAGAACGGAGCAGUAAUAACUUCAACUACGGGGCUUACCAUUCCCUGGAAGCUAUUUACCACGAGAUG
rnacentral:lncRNA from 1 species